GUUACUAUAUACAAUCUCAAGGUAUAUAGGUAAUGACUGAAGCUGCUGAAGGGAGUGCGGGAUGGCUUCAGCAGUUUUAAAGAUAUCCAUCAAGUGAUUAAUAAAAAUAAAUCUUUGAAGAGUAAAACUGUUACAAGUAAAGAAAAUAUGAUCCAAGGUAGGUAAUGUAAUAAAAUAGAGGAAGAAGAACCACUCUGCAAUUUUACAAGAAGAGGAUGAUUUUUAAUGGAUGAAAUUCUCAACAAAAACCUGUAUAUUAAAUAUUUAAAGCGAAUUUUCAAAGGAGGGAUGUUACAUUCAACCUGCAUUGAUAUUAUGGGUGUGGAACACAUCGCACCAAGCACAAUCCAGCUGAUGUCCAAGCCCAGAUCAUCAUAAUAGGCCUUAAGGCCAAGGAGAGCAACUCUGAGAUUUUCAAUAGCUGCAGACAACUUGUCUGCAGUACAAUAUAUAGUUAAGUCAUCUACAAACUGUAGGUAAUUGUAAAGAAGUUAAAAUAAUUGAAAGUUUUUCCAAAUUGACAUUAUUAUAUGCGCCAACAACAUCAAAGAAAAUACCAACCAAUAUUGAAUUACAAGACAGAGCAUUGUGAAUGUCCAAACAAAAAUGACUCAAGCUCUCUCUAGCCGAACGGCCACGCCGAAAACCGAACUGAUUACUAGAUUCGUGUGAAGAGGAAAACUUUCAAAUGUCUGUGGCAAGUUACUAUGGGGAGAGAAUGAUGGAGAAAGAUUCAAUGUUGUCAGAGUUGGUAAAUGAUAACUACCUAACGAGUCUGAAGAAACUUGCCAUUCACAAAAUAAUGCUAACGACGCCGAAACAAAAGUCAAAUCUAGUGCAUUUGGCUUCCAUCUAUGCGACCCUACAGUGGUUGGACGUCCAUCAUUCAAGAGAACCAAAUCAUUCUCAUCAGCGACAUCAACAAUAUCUCUCCCUCGCGCGUCAACUUUGCCGCAACCCCAUAAAGUAUGAUGCGCGUUAAAGUCUCCAGCCAAAAUUAUCGGUUUCGGAAUAGUCUGUAUUAAAUCAUUAAAUUUUUUCUUAUUAAAUU